UACGUAGGGACCAAGCGUUGUUCGGAUUUACUGGGCGUAAAGGGCCAGUAGGCGGCCAACUAAGUCGGAUGUGAAAUCCCCAGGCUUAACCUGGGAACUGCAUCCGAUACUGGAUGGCUUGAAUUCGGGAGAGGGAUGCAGAAUUCCAGGUGUAGCGGUGAAAUGCGUAGAUAUCUGGAGGAAUACCGGUGGCGAAGGCGGCAUCCUGGACCGACAUUGACGCUGAACGGCGAAAGCUAGGGGAGCAAACGGG
rnacentral:rRNA from 1 species